AUUAGUAUGACAGGAUGGCGCAAUAUCGAGGGCCGAAGGGCCAGUACUGUACUGUUCUAUGUUCUAUCUUUGUCCUAACUGGGUAACCCCUUCCUCAGUGAUUAUACCCUCUGAUACCAGACUCUUUCACAAAGGGAAAUAACCUUUCUACAUCUAGCUUGUGAAUCCCCUUAGGCCUAACCUAAUUAACAACUCCUCCUAAGAAGAUUCCUCUAUAUGCAGGAUCAAUCUAGUGAAUCUUUUCUAGACUACUCCAAUGCCAGUAUAUCCCAGAUAAGGGGAUCAAAACUGUACUAUUCUAGGAGUGGUCUAUCUAACACCUGUAUGGUUUAUGUUACAAAAGCAUGAUAAGUAGGAUCUCAGAGCAGGAGUAAGUUAUUUGAGCCUUCUCUAUCAUUCAGAGAUUUUUGACUGAUCCUCAACUUCAACUCUUUCUCACCUGAUAUCCUUGAUUUUCUUACAGACCUAAAACCUAUUGAUUUCAGUACUGAAUGUACACCUGGAUUGAGCAUCAACAUCCCUCUGGGAUAAAACAUUGCAAAGAUUAGGACCACUCUGAAGAAAGUUCUCAUCUCAAUUUGAAAUGGUUGUACCCUUAUCCUGAAAUAGCCUUUCAGCAUCUACUCAGUGAAGCCUUCAAAGAUUUCAAUGAGAUUGUCUAAACUCCAGUGAAUAUAGGAGAGACUUGGCUCACUCUUGCUUCAGCUGACUGUGCCUGACAACCUGGGGGCUUCCCAAUUCACUGAAUGGACUGCUCGACAUUCUCAGGCAAGGCAUGAGGCAGUGGGAUCUGCCUCCUCCUGGUGCUCAGACCUGGUGACCCCGAAAUAAAGACUACACUUGAUGAAGUAUACAACACUACAAACUGUCUUGAGACGAAAUACCCUGAAACUUUGUUCAUCAUAGCUGGUCACAUCAACCAGGCCAACCUCAAGAAUGUGCUACCAAAAUUCCACAAACAAUCUCCUGUCCUACCAGAGGUCUGACAAUCCUUGAUCACUGCUACAUAACCGUAGAGGACGUGUACCACUCCAACCGAUCCACAUUUUGGAAAAUCAGACCACAAUUCUGUGUUCCACUGCUUGGCUUACAAGCAGAAAUUGAAGCAGGAGGAUGUAAUGCAGAAAGUAGUGCCGUGUAAGUCUGAGGAAACUGAAGGACAUCUACAGGACUGCUUAGAGUUGAUGGAUGAUCCAUAUUCUAGAACUCAAUGGCCUAUUUAAACAAGUAUCACGCUACUGUUACAGCCUUAAUUAUUCAGUGUGCAGAUGACUGCGUGCCAAAGAAGUUAAUCCAAACGUUGCUCAACCAGAAACCGUGGAUGAAUUGCGAGAUCCACUCCCUACUGAAGUCCAGCUCUGAGGCAUCCCAUGGGUUGGGUGACCCUGACCUGCACAGAAAAUCCAGUUAUGCCUUUCGCAAAGCCAACUGGGAGGCCAAGAGGCCAUAACAAACUAAGGUGGAGAUCCAGACUGACCACAUGGACACCUAUCAUUUGUGGCAAAGCUUACAUGACAUAACAAACUACAAAGUGAAGUUGAACAGAAUUGCGGGCAACAGUACAUUCCACCUGACAAGCUCAAUACAUUCUCCACUCACUUUGAACAGGUCAGUGAAACAAUGUCUCUUGACCCAGCAGCCUCAUGGUCACUGCUGCAGACAUUAGCUUGGCUUCUUAAGGGUGAACCCAUAGAAAGCGACCUACUUGGAUGGAGUCCUGGCUGUGGACUUAGUUCCUGUGUGGACCAGCUGGUGGGAAUAUUCACAGACAUCUUUUACCUCCUCCUUACUACAAUCUGAAAUCUCUACCAGCUUCAAGAAGACUACCAUCAUCUUGGUGCCAAAUAAAAAUCAUGCAGUGUGCCUCAAUAACUAUUACAUGGUAGCUCUAACCUCCAUAAUUAUGAAGUGCUUAGACAGGUUAGUCAUAGCUCACAUCAACUCCAGCUUCCAGACUGCCUUGAUCCUUUGCAGUUUGCCUAACGGCGCAACAGGAUUUCUAUGGAUUUUGAUGGUUAAGGGUUGUGUUGUGUGGUAGGAGCAGCUGGUAGAGUAGCUUUGUUUCUUCUAUUCAAAUCUUGCUGAAUAGGUGCAUAUGGACUUGCAGGAGAAAAAAGGAUUGACACACAACUACAUUUGUCAAAGCAAUGUUCUCAAUUCCAAAGAUUCCAACUUUCCAUGCUACAAUGAACCUGGGCAAUAACAUGUUUGGGAUGAUUGGUAGAUGCUAUAUUCACAACAACUGCCAGAGAAUAACAUGGGCAGAAGAAAAAUCCAUCCAGCUCACAUCUCCAAUGACACCAUCACUUACCUCCUUAAGCCAGAUCAACAGAUAGGACACAGGGUUGAGUUGUAUUUGUAAAUACAAAGUUAGUGUUUCUAAUCCUAAAUUGCUUGGGUAGAUUUAGACAUGAUAUGGAACUGCCAGUGUUAGACUGGGGUGGACAAAGCCAGAAAGGAUGUAGUCCAAUGGAUUUAUUUGAAAUCACAAGCUUUCAGAGUGCUACUCCUUCGGCAAAUGAAGUCCCUUCUCAAGUCUGUACUCAAUUCACAACAAGCUGGUACUUGAGUACUUGUUUUGGGUGUAUCGUGUUCAGCGUGCAGACAAUGUGACCCACCCAUUUCAACUGGUCAUGUGUGAUUUGCAGGAUUUUGCGAAGACAGUGUUGGUGAUAUUUAUCCAGGGAUUUGAAGUGUCUGCUGUACAUGGUUCACAUUUCUGACGCAUUACAGGAGGGUGGGAACCACGGCUGCUCUGUAAUCCAUGAGUUGGGUGCUGAACUUCGGGAAAGCAUUUCGAAUACUAUUCCUCACAUGUCUGCAGGCUGCAUUAGAGUCAAUGUUGGAUUUCUCAAUGUCUGCUCACUUGGAAAGAAGGCUCCCAAGGUAAGGGAAAUGAAUCAUGUUGUCCAGGGACUUUCUGUGGAUUUUGAUGGUUAAGGGUUGUGUUCUGUGGUAGGAGCAGCUGGUAGAGUAGCUUUGUUUCCGGAUGUUCAGCGCAUUCAAAAUUGUAACUACUGGUCUAAGUUUUAUCCUCGUGUCUUCAGAUUCUUUUGUCAAUCGCCUUAAACCUGUGCUCUCUGGUUAUCAAUCCUGUUACCAUUGUGAACUGUCUCCUCUUUAUUUACUCGUUUAAGCCAUUCAUGAUUUUAAACACUAUUAUUAAAUGUCCUUUUAACCUUUCCUCCUCUGCGAUCUGGUUAAAAUGCUUUAGUUUAUACAAAGAGUCAAACUACAGGUUCUCAGAAAGAUGGCUUUUAGUUUCCCGUGAAAAUACUUAUUUGAUAUCAUGACUAUCUUCAAGUAAACCACCUUUCUGGCUGAACAAUGUAAUUACUUUUAUGUCAUCUUAACUUCUGUGCCUAAUUAACUGCUGUUACAACAUGCUCAUUUGGAAAAUCAAACACUAAAGUAACUGCAGCAGAAGCUGCAAAUGCCAACCUCAUAACACUCCCCAUGCCACAUUUUAUUAUGAGAAGAGUAUGAGUUUUUGCCUGGAAACUAUUCAUUGUCCACUGUAGGCAAAGAACUCACCAAAACAGUCUCUGACCAUCUCCCUCACAA